rnacentral:rRNA from 1 species
UGUAAGGAUAAAUGGUCGAACAGACCAAUUUUUUAAACUUCUACACCUAAAAUUACCUUAAUCCAACAUCGAGGUCGCAAUCUUUUUUAUCGAUUUGUUCUCUUCAAAAAUAUUACGCUGUUAUCCCUUAAGUAACUUAAUCUUUUAAUCACAAAUUAUGGAUCAAAUCAUUAAUUUAUGAAAAAAAGUUUGUUAAAUUUUUUUAUCACCCCAAUAAAAUAUUAUAUAAAGCUUUAAAGGGUCUUCUCGUCCUUCAUAUAAAUUUAAGCUUUUUAACUUAAAAAUUAAAUUUUAAAACAAUUAAAUUAAGACAGUUAAUAUUUCAUUCAAUCAUUCAUUCCAGCAUCUAAUUAAGAAACUAUUGAUUAUGCUACCUUUGCACAGUCAAAAUACUGCGGCCUUUUUCAAUGGGCAGAUUAGACUUAAUAUU